GUAAAUCCUGAAACCCUCCCCUAGUUACAUGUAAACCAAGGAACCCCUCCCCUAGUUACAUGUAAACCCAGGAACCCCUCCCCUAAUUACACGUAAAUCCUGAAACCCUACCCUAGUUACAUCUAAACCCAGGAACCACUCCCCUAGUUACAUGUAACCCCAGGAACCCCUCCCCUAGUUACAUCUAAACCCAGGAACCCCUCCCAUAGUUACAUGUAAACCCUGAACCCCACCCCUAGUUACAUGUAAACCCAGGAACCACUCCCCUAGUUACAUGUAAACCCACCCCAACUGCAUUUCUAUUCCAGUCAUGUUUUACAUUUAAAGGGACACAAACUUUUUAUUUCUGUAUUUGCCAGGAAAGAAGAAUAAUGACCUUAGUAUUUUAAUGAGAAAUGCUUCAAUUUGGAAUCAAUUCCAACAUAAUCAGUUUGUUGUCACCCUGUAUGUGAAAAAUGCCGGUGAUAAUUUUUGUUGCAUAUAAACUGUGUGCAUAAUUCCACUGUGAUGAUGGCACAAACUUGCUCAACCUUUGCCAAUACUUCUUGUUAGUUUUCUUCCUAGUACUGCUGCUAGGAUUUCCUAGAACGAAGACAGUCACAGUCGUCUUUGCCAGUACUACUGGUGGGAUUUCCUAGAAGGGAGACAGUUGUCUUUGUCAGUACUGGAUAGAACGGAGACAGUCGUCUUUGCCAGUACUGGAUAGAAUGAAGACAGUCGUCUUUGCCAGUACUGGAUAGAACGGAGACAGUCGUCUUUGCCAGUACUACUGGUGGGAUUUCCUAGAAGGGAGACAGUUGUCUUUGUCAGUACUGGAUAGAACGGAGACAGUCGUCUUUGCCAGUACUACUGGUGGGAUUUCCUAGAAGGGAGACAGUUGUCUUUGUCAGUACUGGAUAGAACGGAGACAGUCGUCUUUGCCAGUACUACUGGUGGGAUUUCCUAGAAGGGAGACAGUUGUUUUUGUCAGUACUGGAUAGAACGGAGACAGUCGUCUUUGCCAGUACUACUGGUGGGAUUUCCUAGAACAGAGACAGUUGUUUUUGUCAGUACUGGAUAGAACGGAGACAGUCGUCUUUGCCAGUACUACUGGUGGGAUUUCCUAGAACAGAGACAGUUGUUUUUGUCAGUACUGGAUAGAACGGAGACAGUCGUCUUUGCCAGUACUGUGUAGUUGGUUUCACAUAGAUUUCACACGUUGUUUUUCUGUCAUGCUAACCUGUAGAUAAACAUGAUAUUUAUUGUGUCUGAGAGUGGGACAGACUCAGGCUUGUAUUGCGUGUAUGCAUACUGGAUCAUCCAGUGUUUCAUAUAGAUGUUCUGUUCUAAAUAACCUGGCAUCACAGUGGCUUCAUACACCACCAAAACUAGCAGGACACUGUAAUGUUUCACAUCCAACAAGGGGAGGCAACUAAAGCAGGUUUCAAUUCUAACUGGAAACAGACACAACCUAAAGAAACAGGAUUUGGAAGAUGUGGUUGUAUGACUUGCCGAUCAGUAACAUGUUGCUUUCCCUCCACUAGCCUGUCAAGGAUUUCAAUAUCCCUCCACUAGCCUGUGAAGGAUUUCAAUAUCCCUCCACUAUCCUGUCAAGGAUAUUAGUAUCCCAGUAUUUGCUGAUCAGUAACUCAUUACAAACCUGAAUGUUGCCAGUUCUCCCCUGUCCCCCCACUGGGGAGUCUACCAGCCUGGCCUGUUUAUGUCCCGUGAAUGAGUGAGUGAGUCAGUAAGUGUUGUGUGAGGGGAGUUAUUCCAUGUUGCCUGAAUUCUGUGACAGCUGUGUUUAAACUAUCAGGGUGUGUCUAACAAUCACUUCUCUUCACUUUGUCAGUAGAGCAUUAAACUGUCAGUAGCCAG
rnacentral:lncRNA from 1 species